CAACAUGCAACACUACUCAAUUAUCAAUCACAUCAAAUCAUCAUCAAAUAGCCUCAUCAUGCAAAUUAUUCAGUCAAACAUCUUCAGAAAAGUAUUCAAGCCAAGCAUACACACUAAAAUUAAAAUUCAACCUAUUCUAGGAAUUUAAAUGCAAAGGUGAAAGAGAUAACCUAGGUUGCCUCCUAGUAGCACUUGUUUAACGUCACGAACCUGACCCAAACCUGUCUAGCACUUGUCAGUAAGUGCAUACCUUCCCAACACCCAUAAGUAGGUGUACCUUCCUGGUAUCCUUCAGUAGAUACCUAAAUCUUCUAGCAUCCCUCAGUAGAUGCUACCCAAAAAAAAUGUUCAAAAAUACCAAUAUUUACAAAUCCAACUAAAAGAAAAGUAGUAUACAACAAUCACUAGGGUGCCUCCCAGUAAGCGCUCAUUUAACGUCAUUAGCUUGACCCGGUAGAGUUCAAACACCCAUCAGUAGGCGUUGAUACUCCUUUUGCUUACUAUUUUCUUCUUUUUCUUCUUCUUGCUGAAUCUCUUCAAAAAGUUGAUCAAACCAAGCACCGAUUUCCUUCCUAUGAUUUUUCUUUUUAUGAGGAAGGGGCUUUUCAUAUGAUCUUUUCUUUUUUCCUCUCUUCCUCUUUUUCUCAACCUUCUCCUUCUUCCACUUUCUUUUUUUCUUUUUUCUUAUUUUCUUAUUUUUUUCUUUUUUCUCAACCACUACUUUUUCUUUCUCCUUAUCUUUCUCUCCCUCACUCAACCUUUCUGCUUCAUCUUCCCCUAUUCUCUCCUCUUCUAUAUUUUCCACUUCUCUCUCUACCUUCUCCUUAUCAACAACCUCAUUAAUUUGUGUCUCCGAAUUCCUGAAGGUAACUUCAUAUCUCUUGGACGCAC
rnacentral:lncRNA from 1 species